rnacentral:rRNA from 1 species
GACGAACGCUGGCGGCGCGCCUAACACAUGCAAGUCGAGCGAGAACCAGGGCUUCGGCCCUGGGGACAGCGGCGAACGGGUGAGUAACACGUGGGUAACCUGCCCUCGGCACCGGGAUAGCCCGGGGAAACUCGGAUUAAUACCGGACAGCCUCAUGAGCCCUCGGGCGAAUGAGAAAAGGUGGCUUCGGCUUCCGGCUGAGGAUGGGCCCGCGGCCGAUUAGCUUGUUGGUGGGGUAACGGCUCACCAAGGCUCCGAUCGGUAGCUGGUCUGAGAGGACGAUCAGCCACACUGGGACUGAGACACGGCCCAGACUCCUACGGGAGGCAGCAGUGGGGAAUAUUGGACAAUGGGCGAAAGCCUGAUCCAGCAAUGCCGCGUGUGUGAAGAAGGCCUGCGGGGUUGUAAAGCACUUUCAGUGGGGAAGAAAAGCUUGGUGUGAAUAGCGCCGAGUCUUG